UACGUAGGGACCGAGCGUUGUCCGGAAUCAUUGGGCGUAAAGAGCGUGUAGGCGGCCUGUUAAGUCUUGCGUGAAAUCUCGGGGCUCAACCCCGAGCGGUCGUGAGAAACUGGCAGGCUAGAGUGCGGGAGAGGAGAGUGGAAUUCCGUGGUGUAGCGGUGAAAUGCGCAGAUAUCAGGAAGAACACCCGUGGCGAAGGCGGCUCUCGUGGAACGCAACUGCGCGAGACGCGGAAAGCGUGGGGAGCAAACAGG
rnacentral:rRNA from 1 species